rnacentral:rRNA from 1 species
CAGCAGCCGCGGUAAUACGUAGGGUGCAAGCGUUAAUCGGAAUUACUGGUCGUAAAGCGUGCGCAGGCGGUUAUAUAAGACAGAUGUGAAAUCCCCGGGCUCAACCUGGGAACUGCAUUUGUGACUGUAUAGCUAGAGUACGGCAGAGGGGGAUGGAAUUCCGCGUGUAGCAGUGAAAUGCGUAGAUAUGCGGAGGAACACCGAUGGCGAAGGCAAUCCCCUGGGCCUGUACUGACGCUCAUGCACGAAAGCGUGGGGAGCAAACAGGAUUAGAUACCCCGGUAGUCCCUGUCUCUUAUAC